AACGAACUACUGUUUAAUUGGCCCCUGAAGAUUUUUAUGGAUUUUCACGCACAGCAUUGUGGAUCAGAAAUUUAAAGAUUGCGACGAAAUUCUUAAAGAACUCACUCAUGUCCCAUGCUUGUCAACUUUAUUAUUGAUUCACUAUUGAUCAGUGAUGUUGAGUAUCAAUCACAGUUGCGCCUUUCAAACAAUCUAAGUAACCAAAAGUUCCACUUACCAUGACAGAAUGCACUUUAAAGGUCCACGAAGUUCAGAUCAAAUUCAGAAUGGAACAUUCUGGCUGCUUUAGAGGCUAACAAUGAGCCUUGCUGGAAAUGCUCAGCUUGAAAGCUGCUUAAGAUACUACUUGGAACUUUAUUGGAACUUUCAAGUUCUUAGAAGUUUAUUUCAGUGAUGUUCUAAUUAUUAUUUUUUUUUGUAAUUUUAGCCUUAAGUUCCAUCAGGGGCUGCUUAGAAGGCUAUCCAGCUUUCUUCUGUGAACUUUUAAGUUCCGAAAAUACUUAAAAAAGAAGCUGCUUAGAAAGCUUAAGAGCAACCUCUAGCAAGUUGCUUAGCUCAUAAAGUACCUCUUAUCCGAACUUUUGGUUUCUUGGGCAGUUUGAUUAUACGCUGGGCACGAGAAUUGCAAGGAAUUAUACUUCCUUUCUACUAGAAUUUUUAUCUAAUUAUUUAAUUUAUUGAACAGUUUCUGCUGUAUUCUGUAGCAGUGAAAUCCACAAAACUUCAUAGUGCCAUAGAGCAUUUGUAAGGUGUGAAAUGAAGGUUGAUUCUACAAGUGAAACUGCCGAAGUGAAAAUUAAAUGAAGACGAAAACAAUUCGGUAGGCUGUUGUUUUGGUGCGGGUACCUUCGUCGUACGCAAAAACAGAAAAAUUGUCAACUCGUUAGCGGCAUGAAAAUGAAACGUGAAAUUUGCUAUAACUAUUCGAUUCCCAGUGCUAAAGAGACCAUCAUUGAUUAUCCAAACUCUACAUCUUUUUGCUUCCAUCUAAUUGAGCAUUGGGAAAGGUAAAUCGGGAUAUCUGUUAUGAUUGGCUGGAAUGUGGCGGGAAUUAGCGCAUAUCGCGAACUUAAUUUUUUUACCCUAUCUCAGUUCAGAAGUAUAUUAUCAAAAAAAAAAAACUAGAUAACGAAAGACAUUGAAGUUUUAACAAAAUUUUAACCGAAUAAAGUAUUCCAAAGUCGUGAAAGAGCUGUGAAGGCUACUCUCCACGAGGUGAGUAUAAAUUACACUCACGUCGUGGAGAAUCGCUUUCAAAGCUUUUUCAUGACUAUGGUAUGCGUGUGUGACCUCUUCUUUAAUUGGCAAACUUUUAGAUAAAACUAUGUAACCGUUCGUCGAAUAGCACGAGAGUAUCUUAAAACGCGAUGGCUUUUGUGCCACUCUCGCGAACGAGAGACCACCGGUUCAAUUUAGGUUUGCCCGACUAAUUAGCGACUCUACUCUCAAGGGCUCCUUCGAACGGCCGCUAUCUUGAACUGAAACCCAAAACGCACUAAUUUAUACACACAAAAACGAACGAACUGAAACUAUAACAGAAACUUACUCAAAAAAGACUAAAGAACUGAAUGAACAACAAUAAUCGAACAAUAAAAGGUGUUUGAAAUGAAUUUAUUUAAAUAAAAGGAACAAAAAACAAAAGAAACAAAGAAAACUAAACAACUGAAUUCGUCCAAAGUAUAUUAUUUUUCACAAUGUUCGUCAAGUGUGUGUGUGUGUGUUGUGUGUGUAUAAUCAUGGCCAUGAACUCAAACGACGUACCUGCGCAGGUUUUGUUGGUGCUCGAAGCUUGCUCUUGGCCACUCGUCGACGUCGCGCUCUCCUUAUCGUUCGCCGGUCUAUAGGUGCGGAGGGGGAGUGUCGGCGGUCCGGUACUCUGCCCGAUCGUACGUAAACUGUACGCAGGUAGGCCGGACGUGAUCCCUACUCCGUUUGGCUGCCAGUUUUGGCGGGCGAGGAGCAGCGGAAAUAGCUUAAAGCCCAAAAUAAAAAGCGUCUUUGGACGCUGAGGUCCAAAGAGGGAACACAAAUUAAAAACAAUAUACACUAAACGAAUUCACUUUUAUAUUUACCUUUAAAACAACAAAAAAGCGCACAGGGAACAGAGUGUCUGCCCCUGGCGACAAAAUCCAAUAUUUAAGACUCUACAGAACGGAAAACAAAGUCAAUUAACAAUAAAUUCACUUCAAAUGACACUACUUUACAAAAUUACAAUUCUACUAAACACUACACACCUUUACAAAACUUAAACCUGGCAGAAGGUCGCCGAAGCUCACUUCUGUUCUCCAGCCGACUCUAACUAAAAGUGACGGAGUCAAGUCGAUUUCUCUAGUCAAGUAAAUUUCCUGCUAUUGAAGCAGUCGUCUAUUGAAUGUACAAACAAUUAUUUACAAGUGCGCCAAAUUCAACUCGCACAUGGCUGCAAAUCUAUUUUGCGCCAUCGAAAAAACCCUAUAAGAUACAUAACAUGAAUCGUCAUUAGCUUAGCCUAGACACAAACCUUACAUGAAACGGAUAAUCUCUACUAAUGGAAACGGUUCAAACUGAAAGUCAAAUUCAACGGAUCUUAUUCAAAUGAGAUUUUACUUAAAAAAGAUAAAAACGUCAAAAGCUACAAAUUAACUAAAAAUAAUCAUGAAAACUAAUAAUUAAUUAUAAAAAAAAAACAAAUUCUAAAAUCAAAAUCAAAAUAUUCAAAAAAUAUAUCAAUUUGAUCUAAUUGAAUUCAAACUUUAUUUUACUUAAAAGAAUAAAAACGUCAAAACGUUACAUCACACCACCCAGUUUUAUGAAAAUUUGAUCAGAGAAACUGAUCAAAUUUUCAUAACUCACAAAAUACUCAAAAAAAAACUGCACAGUUGAAUCAAACUUAACGUAAAACACAAAACUUAUGUCCAGUUUACAUUGAUGGUCAUAGAGCAAUUUACAACACGGAUGACUCGAACACGACUACCACAAAGGGAAUUUUCCACUGUCAAACAACUUACAUAACCGUUACUCCUUGAACGAUUACCACAAUGGAAACUCCUCAAUGUCAAAAAACUUACAUAGCCGUGAUCUUAACUACAGUUGAUUGCAUCAUCAACACCCUCGUUGACGCAUUCGCAAAUCUAACUGUUUAAACUCGGAUCUUCAGAGACCAUCAGCUCAUUGCGUCUGACCUCCUCCCUGAUUCUCCUUAACGUAACGGAACUACAGCUGGUUGCAUCAUCAACACUCUUGUUGACACAAUCGCAGACCAAACUGCUUAAACUCGGAUCCUCAGAGUCCAUCAGCUCAUUGCGUCUGACCUCCUCCCUGACUCUCCUUAACGUAACGGAACUAAACCGCAGCUGAUUGCACAUCAAAACUGUGUUUGACUCAUUCGCAAUCAAACGCUGCAUAAACGUAAGCAGAAAUAAAUUCCAAACAUCAAACUUAAUUUGACCAAAUUCAGAAUCUGCAAAAAAUAUCGAACAGCUCUAUGUAAACAUCCAAUGUAAACUGACAGCAUAAAAUCUUGCAUGCAAGUUCUACUACCAACUGUAACGAAACGUACUGUCAACGCGAGUGACGUUUGCGCUGUCACUGACGCGAGACGAAAAACUAAAGAAAGCGAAAUGAAAACAAAAACAACGGUCCAAAUCGGUGAUUCGGUGGUGCUCGUCGCGAUCGCGGUCGAAAAUCGAGAAAAAACGGAUUUUCUUCAAAAAACCGGGGGAGUAUAUGAUAUUUUCCCACUAUUUUUAUAGAACUAAUUGCUUUUCGCUUCAUUUACAGGUAUUUGUCGAGGGACUUCGUCGGAGAGAACUAAUUCAGCAGGAGCGGUAAAAGAUUGCACGACGGCGGUACCGAAAUUAAAUCGAGACGGAACGGGAAAGAAAUUACUCGGUUGUAUGGAACGCUAGGAAUGUUCCUGAAUCCGUUGAUUCAUGAUGAUCUCCUAGCCAGCGAGGGAAUUUAAUUGAACGAUGCAACCGCGCGGUGAGAGCUGUAAUACGGAACUGGAUUUUUGGCCAACGUAUGCAGGCUGCGGAACGCCUAGGAGCAAUGAUGUCGAUAUUCUUAAUAUCGCUAGAGAUGUACCUGGUCCGUGCGAAACACGACGACCCUCUAGCCAGCACGGGAUUUCAAGACCGACGUAUGCGCGUUCCGGAGCACCCUUGAGCAACCAUCAAUUCCUCGUCGUUAGCAGAUUCUCGAAAAUCGACUGAGAUGCACGAAAAACGGCGACUUUUCCGGACGAGAGAAAUUUCUUCAGACGGUAACGACGGUUAUCUUCGCGUAGUACCAGUUCAACGGGUGAGUCCUUCCAUUUAUUAACUAAUCUAGCUUUAAACCUAACAUAGUUUAAGCAAUAUACUAAAAUAGAUACAUAAGCCUUUUCGCUAAUCAAAAAAUUCCUUAAGCGAUGAAUAUUUGGAUGAAUAGCUAAAAGCUAUCUUCCAAACACAUCUCAAAAAACAAAAACACAUGCAAGAACUAUUUCAAAAUUAUCGAAUUCAACGGUAAUUUUGCUUAAAAAGAGAAAAACGUCGAAAACGCUUUUCUGUUCAAAUUAUUCUACUAUUAUUCAUAAAAAAUUGUUGCAAAUUCUUCAUCACUCACUCAAACAAAAAAAAAAUUAAAAUUAAAAUGCACUUGAAAACUAAAAAAAAAAUAAAACUUCGUCAUGAAAAAAAACCUACAUGCAAGUCAUGCUUAAAGUAACACUUUGCGUCAAAUUAGAUUCAACUGAACAUAAAUUAACUAAAAAACUGAACUGAACUGAAAAUUUACCGAAACUCAAUCUAAAAUACUGAAAAAAUCAACAAAACUAUAAAAAAACUAAAAAGGAGAAUAAAAUCAAAUUCAUUUCAACUCAAAACCGUAAAUUACACUAAAAAUCAACUUCAAAGUUCAACAUUAUCUGAAAAAAAAAGUAAAAACUUAAUCAAAUUUAAGCUAAAAAGGAAAUUAAAGUUACAAAAUCUAAACAAAAAUACAAAAACGCAAACAAAACAAUUUCUAUUUUAGUAGAAAUUCCUAGUUUUUGACGUUGGGCGCCAAUGUAACCGUUCGUCGAAUUAGCACGAGAGUAUCUUAAAACGCGAUGGCUUUUGCGCCACUCUCGCGUACGAGAGACCAUCGGUUCAUUUUAAAGUUUGCCCGACCGUUUGACGACUCUUCUCCCAAGGGCUCCUUCGAACGGCCGCUAUUUUGAAAUAAAACCCAAAACGCACUGAAUCUUAUAUACAAAAACGGACGAACUGAACCAAUAACGUAAAUUUACACCAAAAGAGACUAGAAACUGAAUAAACAACAAAUCGAACAAUUAAAAAUGUUUGAAAUGAAUUUAUUUAAAUAAGAGGAACAAAAAAAAAACAAUAGAAACAAAGAAAACUAAACAACUGAAUUCGUCCAAAGUAUAUUAUUUUUUACAAAUGCUCGUCAAGUGUGUGUGUGUGUUGUGUGUGUGUAUGAUCAUGGUCAUGAACUCAAAAACGUACCUGCGCAGGCUUUUUUGUUGUCGGUGCUUCGUGGCCAAUCGUCGACGUAGGUUUGCUGUCCUUAAUGUUCGCCGGAUUAUAGGUGCGGAGGGGUGUCGGCGGCCCGGUACUCUGCCUGAUCGUGCCUAAAGUGCACGCAGGUAGGCCGGAAGUAUUCCCCUUGAGUCCGUUUAGCUACCGGUAACUGGCGGGCGAGGACGAGCACUAGGCUUAGAGCCCAAAAUAAAAAGCGUCUUUGGACGCUGAGGUCCAAAGAGGGAACACAAAUUAAAAACAAUAUACACUAAACGAAUUCACUUUUAUAUUUACCUUUAAAACAACAAAAAAGCGCACAGGGAACAGAGUGUCUGCCCCUGGCGACAAAAUCCAAUAUUUAAGACUCUACAGAACGGAAAACAAAGUCAAUUAACAAUAAAUUCACUUCAAAUGACACUACUUUACAAAAUUACAAUUCUACUAAACACUACACACCUUUACAAAACUUAAACCUGGCAGAAGGUCGCCGAAGCUCACUUCUGUUCUCCAGCCGACUCUAACUAAAAGUGACGGAGUCAAGUCGAUUUCUCUAGUCAAGUAAAUUUCCUGCUAUUGAAGCAGUCGUCUAUUGAAUGUACAAACAAUUAUUUACAAGUGCGCCAAAUUCAACUCGCACAUGGCUGCAAAUCUAUUUUGCGCCAUCGAAAAAACCCUAUAAGAUACAUAACAUGAAUCGUCAUUAGCUUAGCCUAGACACAAACCUUACAUGAAACGGAUAAUCUCUACU